CCAAAAUGUAUAUUCUUGCAAAAAAUAAAAAAUAAAAAAACUUACGUACGUACGUAAGUCCAGCGUAAGUCCUGCGCGAGGCGUCAUUUAGCCCAAAGAUUCGAUUGUUGUUUUUAUUCAGUUUUUCUGAACCCGAGCGGAGCGGCAGCUUUUCACCGAGGAGGACUCCAUCUUUCAGCGACUAAAACCACUUUAUUGUUCUAUAUACACUGUUUAAUUAUCUGUAUUGUCUUAUAAUUAUAAUAUAAUUUACCUGUUAUCUGUGUUGUAUUGUUACUAACUCUUUUUAUUUCUUUUUCAGGUUAAAAAGCCGGUGUGGGCUCGACCCCCCCACGGUCUGGUAUGGGCUGGCGGCGUUUUUUCGGGGUUUACACCCUAGAGGCGGAGUGCGAUGUUCCUGAAGAUUCUUCUUGUUGCACUUCGCCUUUUAAUCCUGUGAAUGUCAUGGACUCUGAUGUGGAGGACGAUGGAAGGCAGGCCUGUGAUGGAGAGGUGUUGGAGCCAGCUUCCGAACUACAGUGCCAGGAAGCACAUACAGCAGACCUCGCCCCCACACUCCACCAAGAGCCAUCAUCCAUCCAGGGAGACACAAGAGUUCACUCUUUAAAAAUGAGAGGAUGGCUUCAGUUCUUCUGCUGCUGCUUCCCUGUGAGGAGGACGAGGAGGGUUGCAGACAGCAGCAGAGCAUGAGCAUGAGCAAAAUAGAUACAUACAGUACACACAUACAUACACACAUUAAAACACACAUAUAUAUACAUGCAUACACAUUUACACACAUAUAUAAACCUACAUAGAUGCAUACAUAUAUAUUUAUAUAGUUCAGUGUAUAUAUAUUUUAAUAUAAUUCAUUGUGAAUAUGUAUAUGAUAUAUAAAUUGACAUUUAUUUAUAUAUUAUUAUUUUCAUUGCUAUAUUAUUAUUAUUAUUAUUAUCAUUAUUAUUAUUAUUAUUAUUAACAUAUUUGUAAUAUAUUAAUGUUGUAAUAAUAAUAUUUUUUCCUCACCCUUUUUCCACUAAUCCUGGGAUGGAGAGGUGUUGGAGCCAGCUCCCGAACUACAGGUCAGAGUUAAAGCUACACACAUUUUUUUUUGCGUAUAUAACACUAAUAAUGUUCCCCCACUGUGGGACUAAUAACCUGUUUUUUUUUUCUGUUUUCUUGGACAGUGCCAGGAAGCAUGGACAACAGACCUCGCCCCCACACUCCACUAAGAGCAUUACACAUUAACACACAUAUAUAAACCUACAUAGAUGCAUGCAUAUAUAUAUAUAUAUAUAUAUUUAUAUAGUUCAGUGUAUAUAUAUAUAUAUAUAUUUAUUUAUAUAAUUCAUUGUAUAUACGUAUAUGAUAUAUAAUUGUAUUAUUAUUAUUAUUAUUAUUAUUAUUAUUAUUAAUAACAUAUUUAUAUUAUAAUAUAUUUUUCUAUUGUUUUCAUUUAUUCCUCUUUUCCUCCUUCCUUUUUUCACUAAUCCUGGGAUGGAGAGGUGUUGGAGCCAGCUCCCGAACUACAGGUCAGAAUAAAGAAACACACAUUUUGUUUUGCUGAUAUAAC
ensembl:lncRNA